rnacentral:rRNA from 1 species
AGAGUUUGAUCCUGGCUCAGGAUGAACGCUAGCGACAGGCUUAACACAUGCAAGUCGAGGGGCAGCACAGGUAGCAAUACCGGGUGGCGACCGGCGCACGGGUGAGUAACGCGUAUGCAACUUACCUAUCAGAGGGGGAUAACCCGGCGAAAGUCGGACUAAUACCGCAUGAAGCAGGGGCCCCGCAUGGGGAUAUUUGCUAAAGAUUCAUCGCUGAUAGAUAGGCAUGCGUUCCAUUAGGCAGUUGGCGGGGUAACGGCCCACCAAACCGACGAUGGAUAGGGGUUCUGAGAGGAAGGUCCCCCACAUUGGUACUGAGACACGGACCAAACUCCUACGGGAGGCAGCAGUGAGGAAUAUUGGUCAAUGGGCGUAAGCCUGAACCAGCCAAGUCGCGUGAGGGAUGAAGGUUCUAUGGAUCGUAAACCUCUUUUAUAAGGGAAUAAAGUGUGGGACGUGUCCUAUUUUGUAUGUACCUUAUGAAUAAGGAUCGGCUAACUCCGUGCCAGCAGCCGCGGUAAUACGGAGGAUCCGAGCGUUAUCCGGAUUUAUUGGGUUUAAAGGGUGCGUAGGCGGCCUUUUAAGUCAGCGGUGAAAGUCUGUGGCUCAACCAUAGAAUUGCCGUUGAAACUGGGGGGCUUGAGUAUGUUUGAGGCAGGCGGAAUGCGUGGUGUAGCGGUGAAAUGCAUAGAUAUCACGCAGAACCCCGAUUGCGAAGGCAGCCUGCCAAGCCAUUACUGACGCUGAUGCACGAAAGCGUGGGGAUCAAACAGGAUUAGAUACCCUGGUAGUCCACGCAGUAAACGAUGAUCACUAGCUGUUUGCGAUACACUGUAAGCGGCACAGCGAAAGCGUUAAGUGAUCCACCUGGGGAGUACGCCGGCAACGGUGAAACUCAAAGGAAUUGACGGGGGCCCGCACAAGCGGAGGAACAUGUGGUUUAAUUCGAUGAUACGCGAGGAACCUUACCCGGGCUUAAAUUGCAGAUGAAUUACGGUGAAAGCCGUAAGCCGCAAGGCAUCUGUGAAGGUGCUGCAUGGUUGUCGUCAGCUCGUGCCGUGAGGUGUCGGCUUAA